GAGUUUGAUCCUGGCUCAGGACGAACGCUGGCGGCGUGCUUAACACAUGCAAGUCAAGGGGGCCUCGCAAGAGGCAACCGGCGAACGGGUGCGUAACACGUGAGCGACCUACCGACGAGAGGGGGAUAGCCGGCCCAACGGCCGGGUAAUACCGCAUACGCUCUUGGCCCUGCAUGGGGCUUUGAGGAAACCUUUCGGGCUCGUUGUGGGGCUCGCGGCCUAUCAGCUAGUUGGCGGGGUAACGGCCCACCAAGGCGACGACGGGUAGCUGGUCUGAGAGGAUGGCCAGCCACAUUGGGACUGAGAGACGGCCCAGACUCCUACGGGAGGCAGCAGUGGGGAAUAUUGCGCAAUGGCCUAACGGCUGACGCAGCGACGCCGCGUGGAGGAUGACGCCCUUCGGGUGUAACUCCUGUUGCCGGACGAACCGC
rnacentral:rRNA from 1 species